UCCGAUAUGGUGUAGCGGUAAAAUAUGUGCUUCUCAACUGUUGAGCGUCGCGCGUGCUCGGGGUUCGACUCCCCGUAUCGUGA